rnacentral:tRNA from 2 species
GGGCGAUUAGCUCAGCUGGUUAGAGCGCCAUCCUCACACGGUGGAAGUCGGUGGUUCGAAUCCACUAUCGCCCACCA